rnacentral:rRNA from 1 species
UACGUAGGUGACAAGCGUUGUCCGGAUUUACUGGGCGUAAAGAGCGCGCAGGCGGUCGAUCAAGUCGAGUGUGAAAGCCCCCGGCUCAACUGGGGAGGGUCAUUCGAUACUGAUCGACUCGAAGGCAGGAGAGGGUAGUGGAAUUCCCGGUGUAGUGGUGAAAUGCGUAGAUAUCUGGAGGAACACCGGUGGCGAAGGCGGCAUCCGGGACCAACACUGACGCUGAUGAGCGAAAGCCAGGGGAGCAAACGGG